CGGAAAACAGCCAAAACAGAUUGUGGGAAAGCUGGACAAGGGAAUCCCGUGAAAUUCGGGAACGAGCCCGUCGCUGUAACCGGGGACGAACACGGCAAAAUGCCACUGAUUGUUUUUAAACUUAAAGAUUGGGAAGGCGCCGUCAGUAGAAGGAUCCGGAAGUCAGAAAACCUGUCUGAAAAAUGAACCCGUA
rnacentral:ncRNA from 2 species